GUAUAUAGUUUAUAAGACAAUAAAGUCUAAUAAUGACAUUCUGUUACAUUCUUAUGGUGUAUAUGAAAACAUAGGCCUGGAAUCUUACAAGGAAAGCCGAUUAAAGCAAUUCCUCACGACCGAGUUGCCUCGGAAAAUUGAUACCAGGUCUACAAAAGGUGCACAGGUGGAGAUAUAAAGAUGACAAGGUGUGCACAUGCCUCCGAAAAGGCCAGCAGCAACCAAGUCAAGUUCAUUCAAUAAUGAUCCUUCCGCAGGUUCACCUACGGAAA
rnacentral:misc_RNA from 1 species